AGCAGCCGAGGGUGGAGGUUACAAUUCAUCUCUAGUGGAACGUCGACUAUUCAGGAGCAUUUAUAAGUGUUAAGUGUUAAGUUUUAUUGUAUCACAGUGCAGUAAUUGUGUUUUUAUCAAGUGUUUAGAACUUUUUGAGACAACUCUAUAAUUUAGAGGACAACUUAGCGUGGCAUCAAGUUUGGCAAAUUUCUGUGGAAUGCUCAUAAAAUUAUACAUUUCUCCUUGUCAACGACUACCUCCACCCUACCACAGCUGCUAAGGACAACGAAAUUCCAAACUCAACCAAUAUAAAUCACAUCGAUUUCUGCAAAAUACAACACACCCGUGAAUAAUCUGGCACUGUAAGGGUAGCAAUCAAGCCCUGCCAUCAGCACCUUCGGAAGGGAAGGAUUCCAAAGUCACAAAAAAAAAAAAA